rnacentral:rRNA from 1 species
GUGGGGAAUAUUGGACAAUGGGGGGAACCCUGAUCCAGCCAUGCCGCGUGUGUGAAGAAGGCCUUUUGGUUGUAAAGCACUUUAAGCGAGGAGGAGGCUACCGAGAUUAAUACUCUUGGAUAGUGGACGUUACUCGCAGAAUAAGCACCGGCUAACUCUGUGCCAGCAGCCGCGGUAAUACAGAGGGUGCAAGCGUUAAUCGGAUUUACUGGGCGUAAAGCGCGCGUAGGUGGCCAAUUAAGUCAAAUGUGAAAUCCCCGAGCUUAACUUGGGAAGUGCAUUCGAUACUGGUUGGCUAGAGUAUGGGGGAGGAUGGUAGAAUUCCAGGUGUAGCGGUGAAAUGCGUAGAGAUCUGGAGGAAUACCGAUGGCGAAGGCAGCCAUCUGGCCUAAUACUGACACUGAGGUGCGAAAGCAUGGGGAGCAAACAGGAUUAGAAACCCGGGUAGUCC